GCGGGCGUGGCGGAACUGGUAGACGCGCUGGCUUUAGGUGCCAGUGGAGCAAUCCUUGGGGGUUCGAGUCCCUCCGCCCGCACCA
rnacentral:tRNA from 2 species